UCUGUCAACUGGAAUGCCAAAGCCUGCAACCUUGAGUACUCAACAUCAUGGAAGAUGAUGCACCGUGUUGGCUGGUCCCAGCUUGCAUGGAGUUCUUCAUUUACCAACAUCUUGCUAACAAUGCUAUGAAUCUGGGCAUCUGAGAGGUCAAACAUUUUGGUCAGCUGGUCCAGGCCUAGUGUAUCAUAGGAAGAACAGUAGGUAAAAAGGUAAGUCCUCAGAGCCUCUUCCUUGAUCUUAGCUUUCAGCAUUUCAAGCACGCUCUCUCGAUUCCUAAGAAGCUUCCAAACAUCAAGAGAAUUAAUAACGUCGAAGGCCUUCUGGAAAUCUCCCUUGCAGAGGGCCCGGGUUGCAGCCAUUACAUGGUCUCGGACAUUUUCCGGGGGACCUAUAAAUGGCUGCCUCUCACUCACCUCAAGCAACCGCCUGAAUGUCUUACUUAUCACCUUGCGUUUGGCAUCAAGUGAGUUGGCUGCCAUGUUAGGAACCUCAAGAAGCAUAGCACAUAUCAAAUGCACAGCCUCCAGAAGCUCAAGGUUUAUGUGCAUAUGGUAGGGCAUCUGACGCCUCCUUUCCAACCUUUCCUGAUAGAUCCAAAGUUUAAAAAGGGUAUAAGUCCUCAAAAAAUUGAUGAAUGUACAUAGCCAAUCCCUCUAUUAUAAGGAAUAGAUCAAAUUAGUCCCUUCACUGUUAAAUAGAUCAAUUUAAUCCCUGUACCAUUAAAAAGAAUCAAAUGAUACCAAUUUUCAACAAAGUUAAUAUUUUGAAAGCUUUUUAUUGUUCUACAAAUGAAAUCUUUUGUUUGAACUUAAACUGCAUAUGAAAAAAACAAUUUCAUGUCAUUUUUUAAAUGGUAAAUGCUAAUUUGGCCUUACUCGAUUCUUCUUAAUAGUAUAAUGAUUAAAUCUAUCCAUUUAAUAGUAAAAGAAACUAAUUUGAUCCAACACCUAUAAUAAAGGGACUCAGAAGGUAUGGUACUUUCACCUCAAAAAAUUAUAAAGUACCAUGUAAGUGCGCAUGUUAUCACGCUGUUCAGUUGUUUGCAAAUGAAGGGUAUGACUUGAACGCAUUUAAGUCAGAAUUUCACACAACAAGGGCUCACAGAUCAACAUGAACAUCCCACAAUUAUUCUUUACAAUUAUGCUAAUAGUUAGAUAUAUAGUAAUUAUUUCCAAAGCAAAAAGAACUGAUCAGUGGCAAACAUACUUCAAUAACUAGAUUUCCGAAUGAAUUCAUUGUCUUGUAAUUGUUGUUUAUCCUACUGCAUUCGUAUCAACUUCUUAAAAUAUUCAAAUGCCUAACAGAAACAUUGUGUCAAAAGAAAUAUCCUUUCAAUCCCAACAAAAACAAUACCAUCCAACCAACCAAUUAAAAACUAUUUACUAAAACUUCAAAUAAAAAAAAAAGCAUGCAAAAACCAUCAAAGGCAAACAGUAAAAGACAACAAAGCUGUACAGACUUAAGGAUUAUCAAUUAAAGCUAUUGUUAAUUUUGAUCUGUCAAGGAUUUAUAUUACGAUCGGUACCUGUUCCGGGGUUUUCUCAUGAUAUCGACUUUGUGAAACACCUUGUGCAAGCAAUUCCUUCACCCUCCCACCAGAAUACAGUUCAGAAAGGCAGCCAUGUCCUUCAGCAAUUAGUCCAACACGGAAGGCACAGAGGCCAACCUGAGCCAUUGCCCGGUUAAAAAGUAUCUGUGUUGAAACAUCCAUAUGCUGAAUAUUAUCCUGUAAAUGACUCAUCAGCAGCAAAUCACGAGCUAUUGAAAACUCAUCAAAAAGGGCAUGAUGAUAAAUAUCACAAAGCAUGGCACGGGCUUUGGUCCUCUCAUCUCCACUUUUGUAUAUGAGUGUCACUAGGAUAUCCAUCAAUGCUCUACUAUUCUCGGGGAAUGUGGGCUUCCGGGACACGAGCUCAGGACUAACAACAAACGCAGAUGUACCCCGUGUUUCCUCCACUUUAGUCUCAUCGCCAUCUGUUUCUCCAUCUUCCGAUAGCUCAGCCAAUUUCCUCAUAGCAUCAUAAACCUCUUGAGGCUUGUAAUAGACAAGUUCAACCCUCCUUAAAGCAACCUUAGCAGCAGACUUCAAAUCACCAAUACGCUCUAAAUACUCCUGGACAUUUUGAGCAAGGACCAAAAACAAAGGUUCAUCUCUCAGUCUCUCAACAUACUCACGAGUGUGUGGAUCAAUGCACUGCAAGCUCUUGAAGAACUCAUUAUCUAUUCUCUCAAGGAAGGCCACCAAAUUUCCCCAAACACGGAUUGUACCAUCAUAGUCUGCUCCCUUUUGGGUUUCAUUCUCAUCAGGCUCAACCAUAUCAUCGACCACAAUGUUCGGGUACUGAACAAGAAUGUCCAAUAUGACAAGCAUAUUCUGUACACAUUUCUUCCACACAUUUAUAGGCAUGUGUCCACUAAGACCUGGAUUAACAUCAAACUGUGCAGAGAUAACACUGAAAAGGAUCUCAAGCUUCUGAGCAGGAGUCUUGGCAACCUUUGUCAAGAAGGUAAGCUGCUCGACCUGUUCAAAUUUUCCAGUUCCCUUCCUUCCCCUAGCAGCCACAACCUCUUUAAACUUCUUGUUAACAGUAUCCCAGGUGAUCUCACUAGGAUCUUUCUUAAACUCCCUAUCCAUCAGUUUCUCUUUCUUGCUUAAUUUUUUCUCCCAGGCCCCAUCAGCAUCAUCAUCAUCCAUAUCUUCCCCCUCAUCAUCCUCAUCACUAGACUCAGCAGCAAUCUGUGAGGGGUCCUCCAACUCAGAGCCAGAGCCAGAUUCAUCUUCAUCCUCAUCUUCGUCCUCAUCUUCAAACUUCUCCUUUUCACUCUCAGGAUUCUCCCUAUACUUGUUAAUCAAUUCCUCAUACUGCUUAUUAUUCUUCUUGAGCUUCUGUUUCAUCGCGUUCAAAGCCUUGUGAUUACUGCUAUUCAUUUUCUUUUUGGCUUCCUUAUUAGCCAAAGCUUCAGCUAAGAAAUCUUCCAACAUAACAAGACACUUAAUAUAAAGAUUCGGAACUCUGUCGGACUCGGUGACACGCAUAACCUUCUCCAACUGUUUAUUAAUCUUAUCAAAACUCUCUUGCAAGCUAACCCAGUCAUUGAUUUUCAUUGCAUUCUUCAUCUGAUCAACCGUACUUGCCAUCUCCUCAAACCUCUUAUCUUUGGCGGAUCUAACCACCCUCUUUUGCCCAUCGGAAUCAUCACUAUCACUAGCAUUUGUUUGUAGAUAUCUGCUUCCCACGGCAGCAGCUGUGGUUUCUCCAGCUCCCCCAUUCUCAAUUUCAUCUUCAAUAUCAGUCUCCUCUUCCUCAGUGUCACUACCACCCUAUAGUAAAUUUAGAAAAAAAUUAUAUAUGUAUAACCUCCUCAAUACAAUAUUAGGUAAAGGCUAUAUAUUUUAAAUUCAUACGUCAAAAAAGAUAAAUUAAAAAACAAACAAACCUGAGUCCAGAAUUUAGAUGCCAUUGGCUUUCCCUUUCUCGAGUUCAAUUACUUCAAAGCUGUAAAAAGAAAAUAAUAUGAAUCAGGCAUUAAUACGGAAAGCUGGAUGAACAAAAUAUGAGCUUAAAAUUAGCAACAAUCAAAUUUCGAAUCUAUAAUUCCGUACUGCGAUUCAGGAAGGUAUUCAAUUUUUUUAAAAAAAAGAAGCACACCAGAGAAACAAAGUUACCUGAUCUGAGGCUAGGCGUAUUCAAAAGUAUAAAACAUAUAAAAAAAUAACCUUGUGAUUUGCCAGGUAACUAAACACACACACACACACACACUAGAUUUUCUGUCUUAAAUUUGUUCUGUCAUGUCCUUCUUAUACGUAAAAUUCUUUAAAGCUGAUACAAAGAACAAAAAAAAGCUAUGUCUCUACUAAAUACUUCCCCGUGAUUAGGGGCAAAACUAAAAAUUUUGUGAAAGGUUUUCGAUAAAAUUAAAAGAAUUUUGGAAUAAACCCAAUCCUAAACUAAUCCCCAACACUGUCCAUUUAUCAAUAAACAAGGAAACUAAUUACACCUUGAAAAACCGAGAACCCAGAAAGAACCUGAAGGCAAAAGGGGGUCCAGCAAUGAUGAGCGACGACAACGAAGAACCCAGAAGAGUGCAAGCUGCUUGAGCCUUGAAAUAUUGGACGAUGGUGAGUGAAGUGACACGACGGUGAAGGUGCGUCACUGCGUUGGGUUACGGUAGUCGGGGGUGACUGGUGGCUGUCGGCACACGGUAGUAGGGAGAAUUCAGAGGAAGCUAGAUAUUUAGGGAGAUAGAAUAUUAGGUUACUGAUUAGGGAUUUUUGUGUUAUUUUUUUGUUUUAGGAUAUGGAUUUUCGGGUUGGGUUAAGGUCAUUGAGUUAGGAUUAGUGGUUAUGGAUUUUUAAUAUUGGAAUGGGUUUAUUGGGUGGGCCGGCGUUUGGGGCUUGGGUGGGCAGUGGACUAAUUAGCAAAGUCCUAUACAUGUAAUAUAUAAUAUUUAUUUUUUGAAAUUCAGUUAAUUUGGUUAGUUAUCUAAUUUUGAGUUGAUUUAAUCAAUAAUUAAAUUUGAAAAAAAUUAUUAACCGAUCUUUGAUCGAAUUAAAUCGAUUAACCAAUCGAUUAAUUGAAUUAAUCGAUUAUUUGAUUUUAAUCAAAAUUUGAACACUCCUAUUUAAGGCGUGAAUUCUCAACCGUCAACUAGGUUUAUUAAUCGAUUAUUUGAAUUAAUCGAUUAUUUGAUUUUAAUCAAAAUUUGAACACUCCUAUUUAAGGCGUGAAUUCUCAACCGUCAACUAGGUUUUUUUUAUGUUAGCAGCACAUCAAUAUUCUAUAUAUAUAGGGUGAGAUUCUGAAACUUUUUUUUUUUUGCAUAUCUAUGCUAGCAUGUGGGGUUUUUUUUUUUUUUAAAUGUAGCAUGAGGUUUUUUUACAAGCAUACAAUCCUAUCCUCUAUGUUAUUAAAUUAAUUAAAAGAAAAAAUUUGUAACACCCCUACCAGUAUCCAUUGCCGGAAUAGGGUACGAGGCCUUACCGUAGUUUAUUGAACAUUUUCAGAUAAUUCUGAGUCAUUUAUUAUUCAUAUUUUGAAAAUAAUCAUAACAUCUCUCUAUUGGGCCCUCGAAACCCCAAACAUACAUUAGAAACCAAUCGGAAUUAAAUCGGGAACAUAGAAUUUUUUUAUUUUUUUCCAAAAUCUUAAAUUAUAUUUUCAUCUAAGUACUUACCAUUUCAAUGCUCCUUAUAAUUAAAUGUGUUACCAUUCAAUCAAUAGCUUGGCACUUGUCUAAGCGUCAAACAACAUCAUUGUUAGUAUUCUUGCACAUAUUUCAUAUAAAUUCAACAUUGAUAUACCUAUUUUCUCGUCAUAUCACCCUUGAGUUUAAUAAUUGUCUUUACUUACAUAAUUUCCUCGUAUCAACAUAUCAAAGAUAAUCAUAUAUGUACAUGUCAUGAAACAUAUCAUUCUCUUACUGUUUCUUCAUAAGUAUAUAUCAUUUAUUUCAUUAUAGUCAAUAUUUCAUGCUCCAUCAUUUUCAUAUAUUUUAUGUAUAUUUAUUCUGGUAAUAGCUUAUAUCAAACUUAACAUAAAUUAUAUUCCAUGUACUUAUACUUAUUUCGUUUAUCUAUCUUCAUAAUUAUUUCAUACAACUAUUUUGUACAUAUAUUUCCAUAUGACCAGUUCUUGCAAAUAUUUCACACAACCAUUUCAUAUAACCAUUCGUCAUCUGAUACAUAUUACCUGAAUAUCAAUUGUUCGACAGAUGUCAUAGCGUCUCCCAUCCAUGGUCUUAUUUAUCUUUGACAUGAUGCCAUAGUGUCUUUCAACUAUGGUCUUACUCAUUUUCUGUCAUGUUGCCAUGGUAUCUUUCAACCAUGUCAUGUUGCCAUGGUAUCUUUCAACCAUGGUCUUAUUCAUUUUAUGUCACGCUGCCAUGGUAUCUUUCAACCAUGGUCUUAUUCAUUUUCCGUCAUGUUGCCAUGGUAUCUUUCAACCAUGGUCUUACACAUUUCAUUUCAGAGAGCACAUUUCCGCGAACCUCAUCCUUACAGCGGGAUUACCAGUCCAGGCUAAAUCCCCUGUAAUAUAAACUCAUAGAGUAUUGUCGGGAUUACCAGUCCAGGCUAAAUCCCCUGCAACGACAAUUACUCUAAUGAGCUUGGAUCUGAAUUACCAGUCCAAGCUAAAUUCAGACCCUAAUUUAGAUUACCCGUCCGGGCUAAAUCCAUUUUACACGUAUUUUUCGGGAGGGCUAUAUCAAGAUAGGAUCACCCGUCCGAGCUAGAUCCUUUUUACCGUCAAUUCCUUUUCCAAUGACCCAUCGAAUUCCAUUCCAUUCAACCGGGAUUUAUUUUCAAUUUAUAUCGAGUAUUAUCAAUAUUUCAUCAAUUAUCAUGAAUGAACAUUCAAAUCAUAUUUUCAUCACAUAACUACAUAUUUCAAGUAUUUAAAAAUACAACUCAAGUUACACAAACUUAUCUCAUUGCUUGUUUGUGUUUAUAAUUUCAUUAAUCCGAUAUCUUUUCUUUUCCACGAUCAAGUCUCGUAUUUGAGUUGUCUGGAUCUUUAUAAAUAAAUUUGAUCAUUAUUUUCAUUCAUUUCAUAUUCUAACGCAUUUAAUUAAUGCUCUAGGUAAAAUUACCAUUUUGCCUCUAAACUUUUAAUUAAUGACGAUUCCAUCUUUAGGGUCAGGAAAAUAAAAUUCUUACAAUUUAAUCCUUAUUUCCAGCUAUUAUUCUCAUACAUAUUGAUAACAGUCCAUAAAUUCUAUAAAAUAUCAUAAUUUUCCAUAAUUUUAACAUUUUUCAAUUUAAUCCCUAAAACAUGUUUUCCCCCGAUCUUGAACUAAAUUAAUAAUUUCAUUCAAUUUUGUAAUUUAAAUAAUAAAAUAGUCCAUUUCAUGCAAUUUGAUCUUUUUUGACAUUUUUACAAAAUUGCCCAUAAAGUUUUACUUUUAUUCAAUUUAGUCCCUGAGCCUAAAAUAUGAAAAUUAGCCAUGCUAGAUGAAUAUUCAUACAUAUUUUUCCUCCUCCUCCUCUCCAUUCCACAUCCUUAAUUUAUAUAACAUGCUACAAGUAACAUUAUCAAUAAUUUCACUAUUUACUUAUGUGUAUAUUCAAAACUGUCCAUUUGCAUCAUAGUCACUAAAUUAUUUAUAUCUUGAGCUAUAGAACUUGAAAUUAAGAUCCAAUAAUUUUAUAUGAAACUAGACUCACAUAUAUUCUUGUCAUAAAAUUUUCAUAAUUUUUUAUUAAGCAAAUAAGUACAGUUUAUUCUUUAAAGUCACCCAUGUUCUGCUGUUUGACAGUUUUGACACUUCUUCACUAAAAAUUAAUUAUCUCCUCGUACAGGAUUCAAAUGAUGUUCUAGUUUAUUUCUAUUGAAAAUAGACUCAUUCAUAAUUCUAAUAAUAUAAAUUAAAUUUCAUAAUUAUUUUUAUCCAAUUUUUGAUGAUUUUCCAAAGUCAGAACAGGGGAACCCGAAUUCACUCUGACCUUGUCUCACAAAAUUUAUUAUUUCUCAUAAUUCACAAUUCCAUUUCUUACACCGUUUCUUUUAUAAGAAACUAGAAUCAAUAAUAUUUAAUUCCAUAUUUUUUUCAUCCUCAAAUUAGAUUCCAAAAAUUUAUGGUGAUUUUUCAAAGUUAGCCUACUGCUGCUGUCCAAAACUGUUUUAGUGCAAGAUAUUAAUUACCAUGUUUAUAACACCCUUAUUUUCUUUCUCUAUACUAUUUUUAUCACUUUCUCUUAUUUUCUCUUCACUAACAUAUCAAGAAUAUAGGAUCAUAUGUAAGGAAACUCUACAUUAACAUCAAUCCCAUGCUUUUUCAAUAAUAUCAAACUUAAAAAUAUAUUGAAAUCAUGAUGUUCUUACCUUGUUAUAUUGAUUUCAAUCUUCAUCUUGAUUUUCUCUCUCAUUCAGCUUCCAUUUCUUGAAUCCAACUUGAUAUUUUAACUUUCCAUAGCCUCCUUAACAUUUUUCUCUCUUGGUAGCUAUGGAAAUUCUUUUGAUUUUUGGGUGAAAAUGAUGAAUUUUUGGUAAAAGGACCAAAUUGUAAAGAAAAGAAAGUUUCUUUCUUCCUUUUCUCUUCUUACGUUGGGUGAAUGGGAAAAAGAUGAUGAUUCUUUAUCUUUCUUUCCUUAUAUAUACUAAAUAAAAUAAUAAAAUAUCAUUUAAAAAUUAAAUUAAAAUAUUAAUAAACUAAUAUUUAUUUAUUUAUUUAAUCUAAAAUAUCUCCAACAUCAUCAUUGCUUUUUAGAUUUCUCUCUCUUCCAAUUGACCAUUUUGCCCUUUAUUAUCUUUUCAAAUUCCAUCCUUGAGUCAUCAUUUAAUUUGGUAAAAUUGUAAUUUAGUCCCUCAUAGUUCUUCACCUAUUCAAUUUGGUCCUAAUUCAUCCAUUUCCUUAGUUUCUAUAUCAUUCCACUCUUAAAAUAUUUACACUAUUGGUCCUUCAACCUUUUCAUAUUUACACUUUAACCCCUAAAAUUUUGAGUAUUUACUCUUGUGCAACAAAACUUUUCUCACUUUUACAAUUUAGUCCUUUCUUGAAUUAAUAUAUCAUAAUAUACUUCUCAAUUUUGACAUAACUCAAAAUUUACCUUUUUGUCACUUUAUUUCUUUAUUUUACUAUAUCAAAGAUAAUAUCUUACUAUAAAUUUUCGGGGUAUUACAAUAUUUGAUACAACUUUUUGGAUUCUAUAAAUUUUUUAUAAAAGUGUUGUAUAGUAAAAUAUUAAAAAAAUACAUAUUAAAAAAACCAAGUCAAUUUUUUUAAAUUGUUUGUAGAAUAAAAAAAUACAUUAUUAAUAUAUCAAAUAUAUACUCGUUAAUUAAAAAAUUAAAAAAAAAGUUAUUAAAUCGAUAUUAGAAAAAUAUGAAUAGCUAUGGUUCUCGAUCCACAUUUUAGAUUGGCGUAAAUAUUUAUUUAUAUCGAAGUACAAAGUAAAAUUUUGAAUAUUAAAAUAUGCUCUAAGUCCUUGUUCUUUGAAAUUUAAUUUUUCAUUUUUAUUUUUAAGAUUUUAAUCCUUUUAUUUUUGGAUCUAAAAUUCAGGUAUAAUUGUUACUCUUCAUUAAAUUUCUUCUAUUAAAUUUUUUUGUAUAACAUUUUGAAAAUUUAAAUAUAUACAUAAAUAUAUAUAAUUUUGGAUGCCAUGUCACAAUAAAAAUGACACCAAAAAUAUUAAUCAUGAUUUUUUUUUCAAAACAUAAAUUCGAACUUGUUAUAAUAAAUUAAUUUCUUUAUGUUGGAAUAGUGUUUUUAAGAAAAAUUGACAUCAAUUUUUUGAUUGAAAUAGUUAACAAUAAUAAUUAUUUAGUCUAACUAAUAACAUUACAGAAAUAAACAGACCAAAUUAUGUUAAAAAUUAAAAUAUAUAGAUUAAAUUUCAAGUUUCAGCAUAGUCUACGAGUCAAAUUUGAAAUUUGAUUAUUUUCUUAUAAUGUAAAAAAACCAAAACUUAAAAUACAUGUGAAGUCAUGUGUUCGUCUCUACGAGUCUUAAAAUAUUCAAAUUAUUUAUAACCACGUAAUAUUUUAAUUAAAAAAUUGACAAUAUUAAUUAUUUGAACUAAUAAUAGCAUUAUAAAAAAAAUAUAAAUCAUGUUAAAAAUUAAAUCUCAAUUUUAAGCAAAAUAAAAGAAUCAAAACUAAAAUUUAACUAAUUUUCUAAAAUGAAGAGAGAAAAAGAAAGUGUGGGUGUCCACGUGUGUAACACCCCUAACCCUUAUCCGUCUCCGGAACAGGGUUACGGAGCCUUACCAAAUUUUUCAGAUCAAAUACAAACAUUUUAUAAUCAUCUAACAUACACAUCAUAACUUAAUCAUAUUGUCCCUCUUUUGAGCCAUCAAUGCCCAAAAUAUGUGUUAGAAACAAAUCGGGACUAAAUAGGGUACUCCAAAAUAGGUGCAGGGGACACACGCCCGUGAGGCCAAGGGACACGCCCGUGUGGCCAUUAGACAUGCCUGUGCCUUAGGCCGUGUCUGACCCGGUGUAACUAUCUGACUUAGGUCACACAGCUAGCCACACGCCCGUAUGCUAGGCCAUGUGGUCAAUUUAUUUUUCGAAAAUUUGGUGCAGGUUUCACACGGCCAGGGCACAUGCCCGUGUGCUAGGCCGUGUAUCUCACACGGCUGAGACACAUGCUCGUGUCUCUGUCUGUGUGAAAAUACUUGAACAUUCUGUUUUGAAAAUUUUAAGUUGUAGAAGACACACGGCCAAAUCACAGGCCUAUGUGUUAGCCGUGUGUCUCACACGGUCCAGUCACACGCCCGUAUGUCUGGCCAUGUAUAUUUAAAAUGAACCUUAAACAUCAAAUUUAUCUUUCCCUACAACCUUGAACAUCAAGCAACUCAAAAACCAAUUGUUCAAACACUUAAAAACACGAUCAGAUACCUUUAAAACAUAUCUAAAUAAUCAACCUAAUGACCUAACCAAUGUACCCUCAUAGAUACUUCACAUAUAUUAUCAAAACAAUCCAAUAAAACUUCAUUCAAGCCAAUUCUAAAAUCAUGCCGACUUCAACCCAAAUUUUCCUAUAACAUACUUAUGCAUCAACCUAAAAAUUUCAUAUUAAACCUCAAUAUAACACAUAUUUAUGUAUAUAGGUAAUCAAUAUCAUCUUAUAACAUCAUUUACAUUCACUUCCUAAAAUGACAAGUAUAAGACAUCCUAGAUACAUGCCGACACAAAAACAAACAUACGUCAUCACGUUUUGAGUUCGGGAUCGUUGUGGAUGCUGAAUCGAUGAUCAACUUUAAGUACCUAACCUGCGCACAGAAAACAAACCGUACGUUGAGUAUGAAAUCAGUGGUAUUUCUAUAAUCCAAAUAAUUUAAAAGUAAGAAGUUACAAUAUUUAUACAUUUAAUCUCACCAUAACAAAGAUCAUUCAAAUAAUCAAUUUCAUAAAUACAUCAUUCAUGACAUUUCCAAUUCUCAUCACUUGCUAUUUCAAAUAGCUUUUCUCAAUAUGAUACACAAUUCAUUUUCAUUUUGCAUUCAAUGUUUUUCAAUACCAAUCAUAGCAUCUUUUCCAUUAUUUUUCCCUAUUAAUAUGACUCGGACUCUGACGGAUAAACGGAUCCAACCAAAACACACCAAUUUGGCACCUAGUGCCUCAUCGGAUAAUUUGAAGAAAUAAGUUGACACUCAGUGUCUCAUCGGCUAUGCCGAAGUAAAUUGGUACCCAGUACCUCAUCGAAUUUAUCCGAAGUAAUAAUUUGACACUCAGUGUCUCAUCGACUCGAAGUAUCCCUGAACUCUUCCAAUCCUAUGGCAUGCCAUCUAUAUCUGACUCAGCCCUUGAUAGUUAAAAGGGUUUCAAUUUCACUUUACAAAUACCACAAUCAUCCAAUAUUCAAAUAUCACAAAUUCACAUACUUUCAAUUCAAUAUCAUAAUGCUAAUUACUCACCUUAGUCACUUACCACAAUCAUUAAAUAAAAAAUACAACAAUUAAUAAUGAGAUUCGGAUUAUAGAAAUACAAACCAGAAUUUCUGAGCUACUUCUCGAUGACUUUAUCUUUUUCUUUCUUAGUCGAGGUUUCCGGCACAACGUUAGCUACGAAAUCGAAACAAUUGAAAUUUCAUCAAUACAAUACAAUUUCACAAUGAAUAUUUCAAUUGUUAUUCAAUUUUUGCCUAAAUUCCAAUUUAGUCAUUAAACCGAGACUAACUCUAUUUCUUCACAACUAAUUCCAUAUUUUCAUUCAAUUUCCAUUUUAGACUAAAUUCAACUCUCUAAUUUCACUUAAAUCCCUAAAUUCUAAAUUUUUAUUAAUUUAAUCCCUAUUACUCAAAACUUAUAAAUUAUUUUACAAUUCAUCCCUUUUUCAUUUCUAACUUAAAAUUCUAUCAAUUUGGUCUCAAAUACUCAAAUUAUUCAACAUGAACAACAUCUACAAAUUCAAUAUUUUUUAAAAUUUCAACAUAAGUUAAGUAAUAUUUAAUACUAGGAUUUUAAAAACAUAAAAAUUACAAGAAAAGGGACUAAAUUGAUUUACCAAUUAAACUUUAAACUUGAAACCCUAAUUUUUCUGUUUAUUUUCUUUCUCUUUUUCUUUCUGUUUCGUUUCUUGCUUUGUUUCUUUAUUUCUUUUUCUAUUCUUUUUUUUUACUUUAUAUUUUAAUCAUAAUAAUAUAAUAAUGUAAUGAUAUAAUAAUAUUUACUUAAAUAAUAAGUAAAUAUAUAAUAUAAUUUAAUAUAUGAAUUUUAUUUUAACACAUGUUUUCAUCUACACAUCAACUUGUCAAUUAAGGUUUAAUUGCUUAUUUAGUCCUUUUACUUUUUCUUUAAUCUAUAAUUAAACUUUCAUCUUUUAUUCAAUUUAAUCAUUAUACCUAAUUACUCUUAAUUUAAAUAAAUUCACCUAAUCAAAACAUAAUUAACCACACAACUAAUUUCGUAAAUAUUUAUUAAAAAUAUUUACGAAUCCGUUUUACGAAAAAAGAGACCCGAAAACACACUUUUCGACUAUCCGUGACUAUAGGGUCGUUACACCCUAUACCUGAUCUAGUCAUCUGACCCGAACUAUAAGGUAAUACAAUUGUAAAACUUUAACAUUAUUCACUAUUCAUUCAAUUUAAAUCAUUCAUUCCAUAAUUAUAUUACAUUCAUUUUCAUGUUAUUUGAUCAUAUCUAAGCCUAAAUCGAGCAUAUGAAGCCUUUAAAACAAAUUGGGAACAAUUCUGGACUAAAUUAAAACUUUUACAAAAAUUUAGGUAAAUAGUGAAAAUAAGGAUCACAUAAUCGUGUGGCCAGGCCGUGUGACAGAGCUCAGCCCGUGUGGCUCAAAAACAUAGUUGUGUGGCCAAAUCGUGUAACUAUCUGUGCCUAUGUAAUUCGGGUCACACGGCUGUGUCGCUAGGUCGUGUAACUCUCUAUGACCAUGUGGACAAACCUACACCAAAAAUUAAAGAGGCCACAUGACCGUGUCAUGCAACUGUGUGGGACAUACAGCCGUGUGGGACACACAGCCAUGUGGCAGAUCGUGUAUGUCCAAAAUACCUUCAAACAAAAGCUAAUUCACCUAAAAGUGACUAAAUGAUCCAUACUUAAUAAGCACUAUAAGUUUAAACACAAUGUACACAAAAGAUAUAUCUAAGUCAUGCUCAUCAAAUAACAUACACACUAAAUUUCAUACAUAAAAGCCCUAUACAUGUCAUUUAUAACCAUAGCCAAAAUAACUCAAAAUCUACUAAAAUGAUUGUUGGAUAAUGUGAUAGGUCUCCGAUAAGAUUCCAACCAAUCAAGCUUUCGAUGAUCUACAAAACAAGAAAAACAAAUACAUAAGCACCAAUCCUUAAUAAGUUCGUUUAAGAGAACUCAACCUUACCAAAACAUGAUUUCAUGAUUAACCAUUCAAGCAUUUUAAUCCCUAAAUGCACAAUUCUUCAUAUUCACACCACAACACAAGUUAGUAACUAAAUACAUAAUCAAUUCAAAGUUUCAUACAAACCUUUACUAAAUGGUUCUUACCAUCAAUCCCUUUCAAUAAACCUUUCCAUUUGUUAACCCUUUUAGGGUGACAACCUUUUUCAACCUUUUCAUUGGAUAUCCAUUUCGGAUAUAUCCUUUUCAACCAUUUCAUUUGAUAUCUAUUUCAGAUAUACCCUUUUCAACCUUGUAACACCCAAACCUGGCCUAGACGUAAUGGUCGAAUCUGGCAGUGUCACAUGGAAUGGAAUUUUGAAGUUGAAAUACCAAGCCAAAACCGUUUUUGUUGAAUAUCUUUUGUUUUAUCUCUCAUCCAAUUCAAAAUCAUUUUCUCGUUAAUUUAAUUCGUUCAAAAUCAAUUUUGUAGCGGAAGCUUUUAAAAUCGUGACAUUUGAGGAAAACUAAUCGCGUUUAGUAAAAUUGUCAUUUUUAAUAAAAUUGAGUUUGGGUUGAGUUUGUAGUUUACAAAUUUGAUAUAAAAACAAACAGUCCAAAAGUCCAAUUUACAUAAAAAUAUCCCAGAAAAUAAUUAAUUAAAUAAAUACCAUAACUAAAAUUAAAACAGUUUAAAAUACGUAUGGCCACCGUCGAGUCCACCGUUGCACCAAUCCGUCAAGUCUGGGGAUUACCUGUACACGUUAAAUAGAAGGGGGUGAGUUUACGUAAACUCAGUGUGUAAUCCCCACAGAAAACAUGCAUACAGUCACUUAGCAGUAAAUAGUCAAAUGUAAUCUAGGCCUAAGCCCAUUACAGUCCCAGUAGUAGUUUGGGCCAUAGCGCAACUCAGUUUCGGUAUUCAGUAUCAGUUAUGCACUAGGGCCAUAGCUCAUCAUAGUAACAGUCAUGCAUACAGUAAUCAGUAACAAAGUCCUACCCAACCAGCCUCUACACACCAUCUCCGUCCAACCAUACACUCCAUGUAGGGAUUAAAUCAACCCACCCAUCCCUACACUCUAGAUAGUACAGAAUGCGGCACAUAAACAGUAAUUUGCAGUUGAGCUGCUAGAUAUUAGGCUUAAAGCCUUUAAGUACACUUCCUCCAAAUAUCAUCAUCCCAACCCAAUGCAAUGCAAACAUAUAAUAUAUUAUGCUCUUAUGCAACCAUCAAUCAUACUAAUACAUACAUGUAUUAGUAAUCAUGCAUAAUAUAUCAUGCAUCACAUACACUCAGAUCAUACAUUUAGGGGUCUAGUUAACGAUUACUGACCCUACAGUAGGUUCACAGUUGACUUGGGUGACCCGUGCAACCCUAGGAAUCAUUUCAGAUAAAUGGGCUUACACGCUCAUGUGGCUUGCCUGUGUAGCCCACACGGUUCAAAUUUGCCUUGGCCGUAUGGAUCACACGGCCUGGCCUAGAAUGCCACACGCCAGUGUAGACUACCUGGGCACGGCUUGGCCUCGUUGAAUACACGCCCGUGUUAGGGCACACAACCUACCAUAUGGGCGACCACACGCCCGUGUGGCAUCGAUAGUGAGGUUUUCGGCUUCCAUCGAAACCUCGUUUUCUAUGUAAUCAAGUACACACUUGGUUUGUUUUUUAUGUUGAAACUCUCUCUAGGCCCGAAAACCUAUCAAAAAACAUUCAGAACUGAUUUAGCAGUCUAUUUUACAAAGUUUCAACAAUCCUUAACGAUAUUAACUAGACCUACUGCCAAAGAAGACCUUCUGUAAACACCGUUAAAACGAGAACCACGAAAUUUACUAACUCAAACUUCCUCCUACACUAUUAAUCCAUAGAUGAAAAUGCCACUAUUCAUUCGUCAAGAGAUUCUUAAUAGAAAAGAAGAGGGUAACUUACCAACAACACCUGUAAGACGCGAAGACGACGUGAUAAACAAAAUGGGAAAAAAAAUUGAGAUAGGUAAAAUCACAAGGGAAAAUCGUUAGGGAAGGGGGAAAUUUUUUGGCAGAACACGACAAGAAAAGGAAUGAAGAGGAAAACUGGCAGAGAUUUUUGGCAGGAGAGAAGAAAAUAAUUGGAUAACUCCCAAAUCCCCUAUUUUGCUUCCACUAGACUACAUUCAUCUCAACCACUUCAGUAUUUCGGCAAAACCAAACUCUUUCAGUCUACAGAGCAAAAUAAACUCUCUUGCUCGCGCAGGGAUUUGAACACAGAACCUUCAACCAUCUAACACUCUACUUAACCACCAGACCAGUAGGUCCAUUCUAAUGUGUUUUUACAAGCAAUUACUUAAAAGCCUACUAACCAGAGAUAAAGCUUUAAUUUAGAAGAAAAUAAAUUUUUUCCAAAGACUUGACUUGAAUUUGGGACUUCACACACACACCUAGAACAUAUAACCACUGAAGCAGACACCCUAUUAUGUCAAAAUUCACAAAAGUUGAAAUUAAAAAUUUGAGGCAUUACAACCCUUUUCAAGAAUUCGAAAAUACCAAAUGUAGUGCCAUGGUGUCUUUUAAUAUUAUUUUAAUAUUAUUUUUCAUACUUUUUAUAUGUGAAUUGAUAUGUGUGGAAGUCUCGUAUGAAAAUUCGAAUGUUUGUGUGCUUAAUUUUGAAAAAGGACCUAAUCACGUAAAAUGUAAAAGUUGCAUGUUAUAUGUUAAAAGUGCCUAUUUGAUUUGGCUUAUUAUUUGAGAGGUCCUUAUAUGGUUAGUAUGCCAUUUAUAUGGUUAAUGGACAUUUAUGACCUUGAUAUUCAUGUUUUAAUAGUUUUAUAACAAAGGGUAAAAUGAGAAUUUAGUUAAUAUGAUAAUUAUAAUAAAACAAAAGCUUAAAAUUUGGUUCAUUUUCACUCUUCCUUGAUUGAAAGUACAAGAAAAAGGAAAAUAAAAAUAACACUAGGGUUUCAACACUUAAAGGUUGAAAUUAAGGUGUGACACCCCUAUCCCGUAACCGUUGUCGGAAUAGGAAAGGGGUAUUACCAGACUUGUAACUCAUGUCAGAAUAGUAAUUUUUUUUUACUUUUUUUUUCUUGAAACAAAGAUCAUUCAUUUAGAUAAAUGCUAAAUACAGCCAGGGAUAAAAUUAAACUUCUAUAAGUACACAUUCAAAAGAUGCCAUUUUUGCAUGGCUUAUAUACAUUAACCAGAAUAUUAUUCCGCUACUAGUUUAUUCUAUACAUGCCAUAAAAUAAUCCAAAACAUAGCAGUACCAAACAGUGGAUAGUGAUAGUGUGACAAGCUAUUGACGAUCCCCGAGCAAAGGCCAAAUUUGAUAAUCUAUAAAACAGAGAAACGUAACAACAGAGUAAGCUUUCAAGGCUUAGUAAGUCUUAAGUAAAACAAUUAACUUUGCUGGAUUAAAUACAUUUAUAACUUACACAAAAUCAGAGUAAAGUCUCGAUGGGCUUAAUAAGCCUACACAAGUACAUAAUACAUACCUGGCCAACUUAAUGUGCUGAUCAUCCGUAAUUGUUGAUUUAUUACUAAGUCGCUUAUGAUUAGGCCUUACACAAAUCACGUUUUGAAAUGUCAAGAUAUAUCACCAUUCGGUCAAAUAGAUUAAACCCUAUGUAUGCACAUGUAAUUCAUCUAUUUCAUCCAAAUUUAAGAGUAUAUACCCCUUCGCAUUUAAAAAAAUCAAUGCUACUUUUAGUUUAAUCAGUCGAACUAAAACAUACUAUAAUCACAUUCGGUUUCCAUAUUUGGAAGCACAUAUUCAUGUUUUCAUCUUACAUAAACAAUUUGAUAGAGUCAAUACUCGUUGAAUAUAACUUAUAACCAUCUCAUAAGUGAUUCCCCAAGUACAUUUGUAAUACAAACAAAAUCGAGUUCACAUAGCAAGUAAGUAUCACUUACCAUAUACUUAACCUUUGUACACUUACCGUUUCCAUAGUUACCAAUUACCAAUUCAAUCUUUCAAUACCUCUAACCACUUAAUCAUAUGCACUCAUUUCGUGCACAUACAUAAUUGUAUAUAUGUAUUUAGGAGCUUAUUUCUUUAGUUCAUAUUCACAUUAAUAUUUCAAAUAAUAAAAUCAUGACAAGUAUUAAAGUUUCGUAUACGUAUAUAAAGGACCAAACAUAUUCCUUACACAUAUACAUAAAUGACCAACGCAAUCCAUACUUUGUAUUUGCACAUCCUGCCGAAUACAACUCAAAUUAGAAAAUUUUUAUGAAACUAAUUAAAUCCUUAUCUUAAAGAUAUACAAAUGGUCUUCGGUUUGAAAUAAUUCAAGGCACUUAGCCAUAGCCUGCUAGGUUUUAAAAAAAAUCCGAAUCUAGUUACCAAUACCAAGCCUGCGGGACUUUAAGCCCGGAUAUAUCAUCAUAGUUAAUUCACAAAUUUGUAUACACAUCAAUUCACAUACCUUCGAUUUUUCCAACACGGAAACACAUUAAUAAGGUAUCACUUCAUUCGAACUUAUUCGUAUCUCAAUAUAGCUAGUCUCAUUUCACAAGAGCCAUUAGGCCACAUCACGCAGUCAACGAGUCUUAACCCGGAUACUUUCCAAAUUCCAUGUAUAUUUAAUCACAUGUUACCAUAUUUCACACAAACUAUCACCAUUGUAAUUCAUUAACCUCAUUCGAAUAUAAGCGUAUAGCAUGUACCUUAACUUCAUGUCAUAAUAACAUUUGACUUUAACACAUAUUUAUAUAUACAUAUAUAUAUCCCUUUUAAUAAACUUCCAACUAAAUAAGAAAAUACACACAUGACUUACAUUCUUCUCAUGACAACCAUUCGACUAAACAACAUAUAAGUCACCACACCUUCAAUUUAUAAAACUAUCAACACAUAUUACAUAUACAUUGCUUACGUUUAUAAAAUAGCCAUUCGGAUAACUUGCACACAUUUAUAUUUUAGCCAUUUUGGCCUCACCACCUAUAUAUUUAUCUUGUAUAUCAAUUCAACAAUUGUAACACCCCAAACUCGGCCUGGAAGUUUGGCUCGAACUUGGCGUGUCACAUUGAAGUGUUUUUCAAAAACCACGUUUCCAUUAAAAACCCUUCUUAAUAAUUAAAAACUUAUACCCUUUUUAAACCUUGUUAGAAAACCUCGGCUGAAUAACAUUCUUAACAACUUUGUAAAAAUCUUGGUAGUUGCAGAAACUUACUUUAAAAACAAUUGCGGUUACGUGAUGUUUUGAAUAACAGUAGUUGCUUUGGAAAAUUGUGUUCGAAUACUAGCAAUUAUAAGAACAAUAAAUAAAAUUCCAAAUUUGAAAUCCAGAAAAUUACAACCCACAUAAAAUAAUUUAAAGGUAAUAAUCAAAACUGUAACAUAAACAGUGUGUAUGGCUUCCUCCGAGCCCCUAGCAACCCCGAUCCAUCAAAGGCUGGAAAUUACCUGAAAGGUUAAUAAACGGGGUGAGUUUACGAAAACUCAGUGUGAAAUCCCCUACUAUAAAAAGGAACAGUCAAUCAUCUAAAAGAAUUAAAAGUCUGGCCCCAGCCUUACUUACAAUUUCAGUACCAAUCGGGUCUGAACCCAUUACAACAGACAGUACCAGAUGGACCUUAGCCAAUUACAGAAUAAGAAACAUUAUCAGAAUUGGAACCAAAAUGAGAAUCAGAAUCAGAAUCAGUAACAGAAUCAGAAUCAGAAUCAAUAUUAGUAACAGAAUCAGAAUCAGAAUCAGAAUUAGGUGACAGAAUCAGAAUCAGAAUCAGUAACAGAAUCAGAAUCAAAAUCAGUAUUAGUAACAGAAUCAGAAUCAGAAUCAGAAUUACGUAACAGAAUCAGAAUCAGAAUGUGAAUGCAAUCCCAACCCAAUCCAGCCGUAUACACCCCCGUACAAACCUUACACCAUGUGGGGAGACAACUCGACCCACCCAUCCGCUACACACCACAAAAUUUGCAGCAUGGCUGCCAGAACAGAUAUCGUGACAGAGUCACCAGAUACAGAUAUUGUGGCAGAGCCACCAGAACAGAUAUUUGUGGCAUAGCCACCAGAACGCUUCCUCUGUACAAAAUCCCAACCCAUGCAACAUGUCAUGUAUGCAGAAUGUCAUGCCCAUAUUUGAAUCAAACAAUCACAGUCAAGUCAUUCAUAUCACCAACAUAUAUUCACAAUCAAAUCCGUCAAACACACAGUCCAAGUCAAUCACUUGCCCACAAGGGCAAAAUAGUCAUUUAACACCCUAGGGGCAAAAUAGUAAUUUUACCCCACAAGGGUAUCUCGGUAAUUCUACCCUACAGGGGUAUUUCGGUAUUUCUACCCUACAAGGGUAUUUUGAUAAUUCUACCCUACAAGGGUAUUUUGGUAAUUCUAUCCUAUAAGGGUAUUUCAGUAAUUCUACCCUAUAGGGGUAUUUCGAAAACUCUACCCUACAGGGGUAUUUCAGUAAUUUCACAAUCAAGGGUAAAAAGAUAAUUCUGUAAAUCGAGGGUAAAACGAUAAUUUUGUAAACUGAGGGUAAACCAGUAAUUCUAUAAAUCAAGGGUAAAACAGUAAUUUUACAAAUCGAUGGUAAAACGAUAAUUUUGUAAACUGAGGGUAAACCAGUAAUUCUGUAAAUUAAGGGUAAAACAUUAAUUUUACAAAUUGAGGGUAAAACAGUAAUUCUGUAAAUCGAGGGUAAAACAGUAAUUCUGUAAACUGAUGGUAAAACGGUAAUUCUAUAAAUCGAGGGUAAAAUGGUAAUUCUGUAAACUGAGGAUAAAAUGGUAAUUCUGUAAACUAAGGGUAAAACGGUAAUUCUGUAAAUCGAAGGUAAAAUGGUAAUUUUACAAAUCGAGGGUAAAACGGUAAUUCUAUAAAUCAAGGGUAAAACAGUAAUUCUAUAAACUGAGGGUAAAACGGUAAUUCUGUAAAUCGAGGGUAAAACGGUAAUUCUGUAAAUUGAGGGUAAAACGGUAAUUUUAUAAAUCGAGGGUAAAAUGGAAAUUCUAUAAAUCGAGGGUAAAACGGUAAUUUUACAAAUCGAGGGUAAAACAAUAAUUCUAUAAAUCGAGGGUAAAACAGUAAUUGGUAAACUAAAGUAUCUAAGCAUGGAUAACAAUACGAAUGGGCCUAAAACCUAUUCUCGACCCAAAUGGGCCCACACGCUCGUGUGGCCCUUGUAGCCCAAACCUAGCCACAGAUAUGAGAUUCACUUAGCCUAGUCCAAUAUUUACUACACAAUCAAACAACUUACCCAAUUGGGCCCGUAGGCCCAUUGGGCCCACAUGGCCUCUUUCGGCCCAUCGCGGCCCGAAGUAGCCAUCCAACAAUAAGAGUAGUGAUAAAUACACACCUGAUUAGAGACUGGAGUUAAUCCACGCUCCGAGCACUCUUAGCCAACGCCCAACCCAAACGAGCACGCCAUAAAGCGAAAGGGAUCAGCCAAGAAAGGUACCUUUACUCUCCUCAUGGUUCUCUUUAUUUAAGGCCAGCUUCCCAUCCACUCUUAUGUUAGCUUCCCGAUGUGGGAUCCCUCCAACAUCAGAGUUUAAAUUCAACACCAACUCUUACCGCCCCCUGUUAGCAAAAUAAAUGCUCUUUGCUUGCUAUGGGAUUCGAACCCAUGCCUCCCCUCAAAUGCUCCACACGCCACUUGCCACUAAGCCAUAAGGUUUUUUGUGUCACAAUUUCUCCAACAAUAUUCUUAAGGCCUACCUACUACACCCAGGGUUUGAUUCACCUUAAACCAAAUUUUUUGCUAGAGUCUAGGUUUAAACCCAGGACUUCUCCAACACUUCUCAACACACUUAACCACUAAAACAAGCCUUCAUUAACGAAAUUUGCAUGCACAACAGAAUAUUAUAAGCUGCCUUCAACCGCUCCCAUGCUCAAGGCCUAAAACUUCUAGGCCCAAAUUCAGGGUGUUACAACUCUACCUCCUUUAAAGAAAUUUCGUCCUCGAAAUUUCCAUCUAACAGGGUAGUCGUGUAACAUCUACCCCACUACGCUACCGCUGCGCACUCUGAUCCUACUAUCACUAUCACACUUCAACUAGAACUUGAAACAUCUCAUACAUACAACACUUAUUCACUGAAGUAGACACAUAUUAACAGUCAGUCAUCUAAAAGAAUUAAAAGUCUGGCCCCAGCCUUACUUACAAUUUCAGUACCAAUCGGGUCUUAACCCAUUACAACAAAGAGUACCAGAUGGACCUUAGCCCAUUACAGAAUAAGAAACAUUAUCAGAAUUGGAACCAAAAUGAGAAUCAGAAUCAGAAUCAGUAACAGAAUCAGAAUCAGAAUCAAUAUUAGUAACAGAAUCAGAAUCAGAAUCAGAAUUAGGUGACAGAAUCAGAAUCAGAAUCAAUAACAGAAUCAGAAUCAGAAUCUGUAUUAGUAACAGAAUCAGAAUCAGAAUCAGAAUCAGAAUCAGAAUUACGUGACAGAAUCAGAAUCAGAAUGUGAAUGCAAUCCUAACCCAAUCCAGCCGUAUACACCCCCGUACACACCUUACACCAUGUGGGGAGACAACUCGACCCACCCAUCCGCUACACACCACAGAAUUUGGAGCAUGGCUGCCAGAAUAGAUAUCGUGAUAGUCACCAGAUACAGAUAUUGUGGCAGAGCCACCAGAACAGAUAUUUGUGGCAUAGCCACCAGAACGCUUCCUCCGUACAAAAUCCCAACCCAUGCAACAUGUCAUGUAUGCAGAAUGUCAUGCCCAUAUUUAAAUCAAACAAUCAAAGUCAAGUCAUUCAUAUCACCAACAUAAAUUCACAAUCAAAUCCGUCAAACACACACUCCAAGUCAGUCACUUGCCCACAAGGGCAAAACAGUCAUUUAACACCCUAGGGACAAAAUGGUAAUUUUACCCCACAAGGGUAUCUCGGUAAUUCUACCCUACAGGGGUAUUUCGGUAUUUCUACCCUACAAGGGUAUUUCGAUAAUUCUACCCUACAGGGGUAUUUUGGUAAUUCUAUCCUAUAAGGAUAUUUCAGUAAUUCUACCCUAUAGGGGUAUUUCAGAAACUCUACCCUACAGGGGUAUUUCAGUAAUUUCACAAUCAAGGGUAAAACGGUAAUUCUGUAAAUCGAGGGUAAAAUGAUAAUUUUGUAAACUGAGGGUAAACCAGUAAUUCUAUAAAUCAAGGGUAAAACAGUAAUUUUACAAAUCAAGGGUAAAACGAUAAUUUUGUAAACUGAGGGUAAAGCAGUAAUUCUGUAAAUCAAGGGUAAAACAGUAAUUUUACAAAUCGAGGGUAAAACGAUAAUUCUAUAAAUCGAGGGUAAAAUAGUAAUUCUGUAAACUGAGGGUAAAACAGUAAUUCUGUAAAUCGAGGGUAAAAUGGUAAUUCUAUAAACUGAGGGUAAAAUGGUAAUUCUGUAAACUGAGGGUAAAACGGUAAUUCUGUAAAUCGAAGGUAAAAUGGUAAUUUUACAAAUUGAGGGUAAAACGGUAAUUCUAUAAAUCGAGGGUAAAAUAGUAAUUCUAUAAACUGAGGGUAAAACGGUAAUUCUGUAAAUCGAGGGUAAAACGAUAAUUCUAUAAACUGAGGGUAAAACGGUAAUUCUGUAAAUCGAGGGUAAAACGGUAAUUCUAUAAACUGAGGGUAAAACGAUAAUUCUGUAAAUCGUGGGUAAAACGGUAAUUUUACAAAUUGAGGGUAAAACGGUAAUUUUACAAAUCGAGGGUAAAACGGUAAUUCUAUAAAUCGAGGGUAAAACAGUAAUUGGUAAACUAAAGUAUUCUAAACAUGGAUAACAAUACAAAUGGGCCUAAAGCCUAUUCUCGGCCCAAAUGGGCCCACACGCUCGUGUGGCCCUUGUAGCCCAAACCUAGCCACAGAUAUGAGAUUCACUUAGCCUAGUCCAAUAUUUACUACACAAUCAAACAACUUACCCAAUUGGGCCCGUAGGCCCAUUGGGCCUACAUGGCCCCUUUCGGCCCAUCGCGGCCGAAGUAGCCAUCCAACAACAAGAGUAGUGAUAAAUACACACCUGAUUGGAGACUGGAGUUAAUCCACGCUCCGAGCACUCUUAGCCGACGCCCAACCCAAACGAGCACGCCAUAAAGCGAAAGGGAUCAGCCAAGAAAGGUACCUUUACUCUCCUCAUGGUUCUCUUUAUUUAAAGCCAGCUUCCCAUCCACUCUUAUGUUAGCUUCCCGAUAUGGGAUCCCUCCAACAUCAGAGUUUAAAUUCAGCACCAACUCUUACCGCCCCCUGUUAGCAAAAUAAAUGCUCUUUGCUUGCUAUGGGAUUCGAACCCAUGCCUCCCCUCAAAUGCUCCACACGCUACUUGCCACUAAGCCAUAAGGUUUUUUGUGUCACAAUUUCUCCAACAAUAUUCUUAAGGCCUACCUACUACACCCAGGGUUUGAUUCACCUUAAACCAAAUUUUUUGCUAGAGUCCAGGUUUAAACCCAGGACUUCUCCAACACUUCUCAACACACUUAACCACUAAAACAAGCCUUCAUUAACGAAAUUUGCAUGCACAACAGAAUAUUAUAAGCUGCCUUCAACAGCUCCCAUGCUCAAGGCCCAAAACUUCUAGGCCCAAAUUCAGGGUGUUACAGCAAUAGCUUAUAGGCAACUCAAUUAGUUUCAUCAAUGUUUACAACAAAAUCACAGAUUCACUACAAGCUAUUUUCUUGAGCAACAAUCAUUAAAUUAUUUGUAACUGGAGCUACGAAACUCCAAAUGAAGUGUCGUAAUUUUUUCCCAAAAAUAGACUCAUAUAUCUUCUAUCCAUAAAAUGUUAAAUCAAAAAUACAUAUUAUAUAUAAAACAAUAUCAUGACCGGCCACUAUCCCAAAAAUGGGUAUUUUGACAUGCAAGUCCACAUUUUUGAAUACAUGCAUUAAUAGAUCACUUUAUAUUUACCUAACCUAUUUCACAAAUGUCUCACAUAAGCCCUUUGACUAAAAUUCACAUUCAACUAACAGAAUUUAAGCAUCAAAAUUUCACACAUGCACUAUCACACAUAGUAGAUAUGAAUUUUAAUAUUUAAUAAAUUUUAUAACUCGAUUUUGUGGUCUCGAAACCACAUCUCGAGUAGGGUCAAAUUAGGGAUGUCACAUAAGGUAUGUGUUUUAAUCGGUUUUUGAUAAUUUCUACGUUUUAGUAAUCGUUGCUUCGAAUACUAUAAAGCCCAUGUCUCAAUUUCUGAUUUUGUUUAUGAUUUUGAAAUUUACCAUUGAUGAAAUUAUGAGCUUUGUGAUGUUAGUUGUUGGAAAAUAAAAGAUAUAUGUUGGGUUGAUAUGUUUUGUCUUUGAAUUUUUGGUGAUUUUGAGUAAAAUGGGCUAAAUUAUGAAAUUUGUAAAUUGAAGGACUAAAAUGUGAAAUAAAUGAAAUGUGUGGACUAGUAUGAGUACUAGGAGAAUUCGGCCAAGCAUGAGUAUAUGCAAAUUAUGUGUAUUUUGUGAUUUUGUGAAUUAGGGACUAAAGUGUCAAAAUGUGAAAAUGUGAGGGCUAAAUUGUAAAAUGCUCUAAAUGAAUGUUUAUGGAUUGAUUUGAAUUAUUUGGUGAAUAAAAGGGUAAACUUUUAAUACAUAUAGAUCAAGAAAAGAGGAAUUCAGAUUUAGACCGAGAGAAGUCGAAGGUUAUAGAGUAUACAAUCCGAGUCAGCAAUUCUGAAUACGAGGUAAGUUCGUACAUGAUACAUGAUGCUAAAAGUAUAUUUUUGAUGCUUUGAUUAUACAUAAAUUGUGUAUAUAUUUGAUUAUGGUUGAAUACGAUGAUAAAUCAACUGCAUUUGGCACUAAGUGUGCGAUUCAAAAUAGCUUCGGCUAUAAACAGCACUAAGUUUGCAAUUCAAAAUAGCUUCGGCUAUAAAUAGCACUAAGUGUGCAAAAUGGUAUAGCUUUGGUUGUAUGAGGCACUAAGUGUGCGAUACCGAGAUAGCUUCGGUUAAUUGAGAUGGCACUAAGUGUGCAGAAUCGUUCUAGCUUCGGCUAAACCUUGAAGCACUAAGUGUGUGGAUGCUUAAAGUAUGAAUAAUCUUCGGAAAGUUUUAAAAUAUCUGGACGAGAGAUGAGAAUGAAAAUGAAUAAAUACGGGAAGGUUCAGGUAUGUACAAUACUUAUGUGGUAGAUGAUAUUAUGUAUAUGAAGUUCGUGGAUUGGUAUAAACAUAUGAAUUGUGUUGGCAUAGAAUUGAUAGAUGAAUUGAGAACUAAUAAGUGUUUAUGCGUUGAUGUUUUAUAUUUUAUAAGCUGUUGAAUAUAUUUAGUACAAGCUUACUAAGCUUUUAAAAGUUUACUUUGUGUGUGUUUGCAUUGUUUUAUAGAUAUUGAAGCUACUGUGAGCUCGGGGAUCGUCGAGGAUCUUCACCACACUAUCGAAUCUCAUUUUGAUACCUUUUGAAAUUGUAUAUAGUAAAGUAUGACAUGUAUAGGCUAAAAGUACUUUGGAUAAGUUUUGUUGUAAUGACCUGAAAUUCACGGGCACCGGAAAAGUGAGUUAUAGGGCCUCCGUCUUAGUGAAAUAAGUUCGAAAAUAAUUAUUAAAAAUAUUUAUGAGCCUAGUGGUGUGUCUAAUUAGGAUCUAAUUAAGUGAAUUUAGCUUAAUUUAGAGUAAGUAAUAAAAAGGAUUAAAUUGAAUAAAGGGUAAAAGUUUAAUUAUAAAGCAAUAGAAAAUAAAAAGGAUUAAAAUGGCAAUUAAGCCAUUGACUACAAAUGAGGUGGCAUAUUGGUGAAAUAAAAUCAAAGAUUUUUUUUAGGUCUUAUAUAUUAUAAUGAUUAUUAUUAUGGUUUUAUAUUAAAUUGUUAUGAUUAUUUAAUUGAUAAUAUAUUAUAAAUAAAUUAAAUAGAAGACAAUUGUAUGGUAAUAAAAUAUACAUGUGUAAGAAUUGUAUGGGUACAUUUGUAAUUUAAAUAUUUAAUUACUUAUAAUUUAAGUAUAAAGAUAUUUGUUAAUUAAAUAAUUAAAUUAUAAGAUUUUUGGUAUGAAAAACAAAUUAAAUAAUGACAUUUGUAAUAAUAUGAAUAUAUACAUUUGUAUUAUAAUUAUGUAUUUACUUAAAUUUUAAGUUAAAAUAUUUAUUAAUUAAAUAUUAAUAUUAUAAGAUUUUUAUUUGUUAAAUAAAUAAAAGAAAGACAAAUGGAUGGUAAUAAUAGUAUACAAAUGUACAAAGAUACAUGUAUACAAAUGUGUUAAUUAUAUUGUUAUUAAAUUAACAAUAAUAUAUAUUAGUUAAAUGAUAAAAUAAAUAAGUAAAAUAAAUGAAAUAAUAAAAGAAUAAAAAGAAAAACAAAAGAAACAAAGAAGAAACAGAACAGAAGCAUUUCGAAACAGGGAAAGAAAAAGAAAGAAAGAAAAGGGAAAGGAAAAACUAGGGUUUUAAGGUUUGAAGCUUUAAAAGGUAAGUCAAUUAAGUCCUUUUCUCUUAAUUUUGAUGUUUUAGGAGUUUUGAAACAAGAUUUUGAUGAAAUUAAGUUGAUAGUUCAAGAGUUCAUAUGUUUCCAAGUAGGGUUCAUGUUGGAAAAACUAUGGAAUUAGGGAUUUAAUUGAAUGAAUUCUAAGUUAGAAUUGAUUAAGGGAUUAAAUUGUAAACUAGGCUAUAAGUUUUAUGUUGUAGGGACUAAAUUGAAGAAAUUUCGAAAUUAGGGAAAUAUGCUGGAAAUUUUAUAGUUAAAUAUAAGUUUAGACAAAAUUUGAAUAGAAAAAGAGAGUGAAUUGGAUUAAGAAAAUAAUUAAGUUUAGUUAGGAUUAAAUUGGGAAUAAGGUAGGAGUUGUUUAGAAAUUUAAUUAUUUAUUAUAAUUAGUGCUGUAAAUAAUAAUGUAAAUUACUAUUAUUUUCGUAGCCAACAAAGAACCUGAAGCAUCAGCAUCGAAAGGAAAGGAGAAAGUCAUCGAGGACUAAAACGGGAGAAUUACGGUGUGUAUUACUAUAAUUCAAAUUUUAAUUAUUAUUGAUUGCUGAAAUUUUAAUUGUUAUGUAUGGUAAGUAAGGCUUGAGGUAAGUAUGUGAUUAUUUGAAAAGUGUAUUGAUUGAAAAAUAAAUAAAUGGUGACAAUUGUAUGGUGUUGAUGGUAUACACUUGUGUGAAAAUUAAUUUGUAUAUGAAUUAAGAUAAUAGAUAUUUGAAUUGAAUGAGUAUUGAAAAUUUUUGUGUAAAUUAAAUUGAAAUUAGAAAAAGUAAAAUAAUACCCUAUUAACUUGUCGGACUAGAUUCGUUACAAAUGGCAUGCCAUUGGAUUUGUGAUGUGAUGAAGAGAUUGUAGUUCGGCCGAGAAGAUGUUUCUGUUAUUAUAUACUUCGGUUUAUCCGAAUAGGCAUUUAAUGCCUUAUUGGUGUGUUUGGGAGGACAUAUUAUACCGGUGUGUUAUGGAGGAUUUACAAUAUUCCGGGUGUGUUUGGGUUGGAUAUUCUGGUGUGUUUGGAUGGAAUCCACGUAUCUGUCAUAGUCCGAGCUUUGUUAAUAGGGUAAAUAAUUGAAAUGAAAUUUUGAAAAUGAGAUUAUUUGUUUUAGCACUAUUGAAAAGUACGAGAAAGAAUGUAUGAACUAAAUUAUGAAUUGAGUUAGUAUGAAAAAAAUGAAUUAUGAAUUUAAGAUUUAUGAAGUAAAAUUAUUGUAUAUAAAAGUAGUUUAAAUAAUUAUAAAAUUUAUGGUUGAUGUUUGUAAUUUAUUAAUGUUAAAUAGUCUUGAUUUAUAGUAAUACCACUGAGUAUAUCCAUACUCAGCGUACGGUUGUUUCCGUGCGCAGGUUAGUAGAAGUCAAGUGUCCCGGCUCAACAUCCAGAACAAUCCCGACUCCAACACAAACUUGGUGAUAUAUAUUUUUCUUUUGGGUAAAGGUGGCAUGUACAUAGGUGUUAUUUAGUCACUUGAAUAUGUAUAUUACUUUGGGUAGUGAAAGAUGAAUUAUAAAAUUUAGAUGGUUAAAUGAAAUGGUAAGGAAAGUACAUGAUAUUUUGAUACAUGAACAUUAAGUUGUUAAAUGAAUGAAGUUUUUAAUCAAUUUUGAAUGAUGCUAUGAUAGUUAUUAAAUUAAAAUUUUGUUAAUAAUAUAAAUAUUAGUAUAUGAAUGUGAAAUAUUGGUGUUGGUUGUUUUGGUUUGAAUUUGCAGGAGGUUUAGGUAAAAAUAAGCAGAAAUGCUGCCGAAAUUUUUAUAAAAAAAAAAUUGGAAUACUCGAACAAGUCCCGUUCUACUUUUAAUACGUGUUUGAACUUCGAGAGUUCAAGAUAGGGACUUAAUUAUUAUAUUAUACUAUGAAAUUUAUAUUAAUUGUAAAUUAUUCGUAAGUUGUCUGAUAUGUCCGGUAAUGCCUCAUAACCUCGUUCCAGCGACGGUUUGGGGUUAGGGGGUGUUACAUUUGUAAUGUUUAUAUUUAGACAUGUGAUAUGGCUUGCUAUGGUUGUGUUUAUGUUUUUUAUUUUGGUAUAUGAAAUGUGAUACAAGAUGAUCUAUUUGAUGUGUUCAUAAAUAGCUAAGAGAAAUUGUAAGAAUGGCAAGUUUUGGUAUGAGAUUUGGUCAUGAUUUUAGAGAUUAUGAAACCAUAUGUUUGACAUGAUUUGGUCUUAUGUUUUGGCACAAUUGAGUUGAGUUUAUGAGCAUGUAAAUGGUUGAUAAUAUUAUAGCAUGAAUGAUGUAUAGUUUGGUAUAGAAAUUGGCUGAAGUUGUUGUGUAUAUAUGCUUCGUUUGGUGCUUGUAGGUUUGACCCAAAAUGGGGUGGCAAGUUGGCUAUUCAAAUGGCCUACUUUUGUCCACAUGGGCAGAGACACAAGCGUGUGUCUCAGUCAUAUGUGACAUACGGUCACAUUACACGGCGCUGUGUCCCUUGGGGUACCUUACGAAUUAAAGUCAGUAUACCCUCCAAUUUUGGCACAGCCUAGACACACGGGCAUAUCUAUUGGUCGUGUGUGUCACACGGGCUGGCACACGGGCGUGUGGUCGGCCGUGUAGCCAAGUCAGUAGCCUCCCUAAUUUUCACAUGACCUAGCACACGAGCGUGUCUUGUGGUCGUGUAGACAAGUCAGUAUGUAUGCUCUGUUUCGCCAUGGCUUAGACACACGGGCGUGUCUAAUGCUGUGUGAGGCACACGGCCUGUUCACACGAGCGUGUGACCCUUGAAAAGUUAAAAAAAUUUAUAAGUUUUGAAACUUUCAUAUGUUAUCAAUUUGGUCCCGCAUGCAUGAUUUAGACUUUGAAUGCUCGUAUUAAAUUCAUAUUGAAUAAGAAUGACUUAUAUUUAUUGAAAUGAGAUGAUAUUUGAUAUAUGAUUGUUCUGAAUUGAGUUACAAGUCUGGUAACGUCUCUUAACCUAUUCCGACGAUGGUUCGAGUUAGGGGUGUUACAAAUACCAUAAGGUAUUUAAAUCUUGAUCCUUUCAUUUUCACAAUUCAAAGCAAUCUUAUACAUUAAAACAUAAUUACAUACACAAGAAAACUAUCAAAUAUUCUUACUAAUUCAAUUGUAACACAUAAUAACAUAAAAUAUGAACUUACCUUGAUAAAACAGUUGUAAAAAUGAGGCCGAUAGUUAAUCCACCACUUUAGCUUUUCCUUGAUCUAAGUUUGGUUGAUUAGUACCUUGAUCUAAAUAUGAAAUUCAUUCAAUUAAGUAUUUAAAAUAGCUUAAACCAAUCAUUUCCAACUUAUAACUCCUUUUACGAUUAAUUAUAAUUUCACCCCUAACAUUUUAACUUUUAUAUAAUUUAAUCCUAAGGCCAUAACUUGCAAAUUCACUAUUUCUUAUGCACUAUAUGCUAACCGAUUUUUCCUCCUACCUAUAUCAACUCAUAUUUGUCCUCAAUUCGUAAAAAUAUACAUGAAAUUUAUCAUUUUAACAAAUCAAUCCUAAACCUUAAAUUUACUAAAAUUUAAUUAACAAAACAUGUUCAUUUAACAACCAAAUUUAAGAAUAUAUCAUUUAACAUUAAAACAUACCCAAACUCUAUCAUUGCAAAUCCUUCAACCUUUAAUAAUUUUUGCAAAUUAACUCCUAGGCCACAUAGUUUAACUGAAAACGAGCUAGAAACCAUAAAAAUCAUUAAAAACAAGGCUCAAAUACAUACCAUGCAUGAGGAAAAUUCAAAACUGAAGCUUUCUCCCCUCAUUCAAUGGCUAUUCUAUUUUGUCUAAGCCAAAAUAGGGAAGAUGAUAACCAAAUUUUCACUUUUAUUUCGUUAACAUAACAUUAAUUAUUAAAUUACUAAACUAACCUUUAAAAACUAUCAAAAUCACACAAAAACCUUUCCAUUAGAAUCCACUAUAUUAAUAUAUGUUUUAAUUACCAUCUAAAUCCACUAGAUUAAAAUUUCAUAGCUAUUUAACCCUUUUAGCUAAUAGAUUUCAACUUUUGCAUCACUUAUAAUUUAGCCCUUUUUACUUAACUAACUAUUUAAACAUUAAAAUUUCUUAACAAAAAUUUAAUACGACCUUAAAAUAAUCCUAUAAACAUUAAAAUAUUACUCACUUGUCGGAAUCGUGGUCCUGAAAUCAUUAUUUUCGAUACCACUAAAAACGAGUUGUUAUUUGCAUGAUUAACACAUCAUUAUCACUGUCAUUUGGCAUGUAUAUCAUGCCCACAACACAACACAAUUCACAAUAUCCAUCAUAUACAUCUCAUAUUACAAUAUCACAUCAUAAUAAUCAAUCCACAAUUAUUCAAAUAAUCACAUAAUUUUCCAAAAUAAAAUAAGGGAAAUAGAAAGCUUACACUCGGAACUUAGGAUAGAGGUUUAGGCUAAUCAUAAGCUUCCAGUUAAUACUAUGAAUCGUGUCUACUAGCUGCGAUUCCGAACACUCACCAUUCAUGCUUUCACCUUGUAACACCCCAAACCCAUAUCCGUCGUCGGAGUAGGGUUACGGAGUAUUACCAACCAAUCGAAACAAUUAACAAUCAAUUCAUGAAUAAUCAUAAGCGUAUAUUAAAUCAUCAACAAAAAUGCGAAUUGUCCCUAAAUCGAGCUUUAAAGGUCUUAAAAUUUCCUUAGAAACAUUUCAGGACUAAAUAGAAAUCAUUUGAGAAGUUAAAGAAAAAGUUGCAAAAUUUUGACUAUAGGGGUCACAAAGCCGGGCCGCAGCCCGUGUUCAUACCCGUGUAACUCACUGACUUAGUUCACAUGACCAAGCCACACACUUGUGUGCCAGGCUGUGUGACACUUGAAAUGGCCUCACACGCCCAUGUGUCAGGCCAUGUGCUAGGCCAUGUAAGUGCCUGACUAGCAUGCAAAGGAACCUGCAGGAGACACACGGCCGUGUCGCCAGGCCGUGCAUCACACGCUGAUGAGACACACACCCGUGUCUCAGGCCGUGUAGACAAAUUUUUACCUAAAACAAGCAUUUUCCAAAACCAAAACAAGCAUGAUUACUCUACCCAUCUAAGCACAUCUAAAAAGGGUCUUAAGGAACAACAAAAAAUAGUCAAACAUGCUCAAGCAAGCAUCUUAAGUGCCUAACCAAUGUGCCCUUAUUGACACGACAUAUAAUUCUGUCAUCAACAACCAAUAUACCAUCCAUAGGUAUCUCAAUCAAACUCAAAUAUACAAAUCAUUGAAUUUGAUAAAUGCACAACCUACAUAUAUCAUUCUCAUUCAACUCACAACCCAAGUGACACAAAGAAUAGCUUUACUUUAUCUACCAAACAAACAACCUAGGUAAAUCACCAAAAUGACCAAAUCAUUUAAGCAAACAUUAUUUUCAAGUAUUGCAUAUUUAAGUAUUGCAUAAAACUUCAAACAUGUAUUUACAAUCAUUUACACUUAAAAAUUCAUAUUCCCUAGAACUUACUAAACAAAAGUGACACUAUCACUAAAUUUGCAUCCUAGGUACAUGCCAAAAACACAAAAUAAAACAUCACCAACAUUGAGUACGGGAUUCUUCAAGGAUACUGAGUCCUGUUCUACUAUUUAUCUAACCUGCAAACAUGUAAAUCAAUUUACAAUUAAUAGGUUUCAUUUAUUAGCUAACCACAAGAACAAUCAAUAAUAAUAUGAAAUUAUAAAUUAACUAAAUAAAAAAUUCAGUUCUUUUGAUAAUUUAAGUAACCUUGUUGUAUGAUCUAUUAGCUACGUGGCACCCGGUGCCUAGCGAGUAAAUCACAGAGGAGAUUGCGCUCAGAGCUAGUGGGAUUAACCGACAGUAUUGAAUGUGAGCCCAGCUCUAGUUGGAUGAACCGACAAUGUUUGCUCCCAGCGCUAGUCGGAUAUACCGACAAUAAUAAAUGUGAGCCCAGCUUUAGUUGAAUGAACCAACAGUGUUUGCACCCAAUGUUAAUCGGAUAGACCAAGGAUUGUGUGCCCAGCACUAGUCAAAGAUAGCAAAUAAAAUAACCAACUUGUUUUUCGGCAGUAACAAAGAAGAAGAAAAACAUUCUCCCCCUCUCCAUUCAUUUUCUUUUCUUUAUUAUUUUCUUUCCUAUUAACAUUAAUAUUUUUUUUGUUUUAUUAAUUUCCCUACAUAUUAUAAUUAUCCUAUUAUAAUUAUUAAUAAUAUAACCUAUAUAUAUUAUUCUCAUACUCAUCCCAUUUUAAGUAAUGGUUUUAUUUAAUUGCUAAGUCCUUUGAUAUUUAUCUUCUUUAUAAAUUUAGUAUUUUUUCCCACUUUUAUCACCUAUUGAUUUAGUCCCUUUUAAAUAAAAUAAAAAAAUUAUUUAAUUAAUACUCAAUUCACUUUUAAAGUAACUCCCCAAAAAUAUAAUAAUAAUAUUUUUUAGCCCAAUUCGCGCAGGCAGUGUCCCGGAAGUAUGUUUCUCAAUACCCCUAACUUACGGGAUAUUACACACCUAGUCACGGAAAGCUCAAACUAGUUUUUACUUUCCUUUUACCUUGCUCGUCAAAGGCUCCAACACUUCUGUAUCUUCACCAAAGUUAACCACACAAUAACCAUGAUUAAAAUUAAGCUAACAACCAUAACGCAGGCCUAAAUUAGUUCCUCUUAGAAUUGAAACCUUCGACAUAAUAAACUUGAAACUCAAUUAUCUCAAUCUCCACUUAUCCUCUUUGCCUAAAACUAAUUCCAUUCAUCUAAUUAUUCAUCUAAGAUUAAUUCUUAACCUUCAAAUUACACAAAAUUACCCAAUUCGUGGUUACAAAAUUUCAACAUAAAAUAGAUAUUUUUCAUGAAAACUCAAUAAAACCAUAAAAUCGCUUCAUGAAACUUUAUGGAAAGUAUAGGAACCUUCUAAUCAUGUCAAAAUAAGUUUAAAAAACACUUUGAAAUAUUAUUUUUAUGCAAAAUCCCGAAUUUCACCAUUAAUGACUUAAUUUUCCGCUUUUAUUCAAAUAUUUCGAUUUAAUGGAUAAAAAAUCAAUUUAAAAGACUAAAUAACAUCAAAAACUAAUAGGGAAAUGAUUUUUAAAACUUUGGCAGAAUUGCUUUAUAACUACUCCUAUUUUUCACCCUGUUAUAAAAUAGUCCUUAUUCAAAAUUAAAGGUUUUUUGAAACUCAUUUUGGAAAAUUGAUUUAAUUUUCUAAAAGCUAUAGACGAAGACAUUUCCGGUUUACCAUCCUACAAAAUUUUGAGCAUAAAUGAGCUAAAAUUCUCAUUUUUCCCUCAAAAUUCUUAGGCCCAAUUUUGAGGUGUGACAUGGAUGCCUUCGUGGCUAUCCAUUGAUCAAGCGUAUGUCUGUAGACAAGGGAAAACAUCUGAAGUAAAGAAAACACCUUAGUGGUGCAAUUUGUGGAAUAACCUCGAGACAAAGAUUCAAUGGCACCACCAAAGUGGCGAACUCUAAAAAGAAGCAUAACUAUCCAGUUUGAAACAACUAAAGAAUGGUGAGAAAUGCAUGAUGAUGAGAAGCAGACAAAAUCUGCCUUGACCAUCAGUAGGAAGGUGAAAUGGAAAGUGAGUUGCCAGUACCAACCCGUAAGUAAGUCGUAUGAUAUCGACAGAGGUAAGAAUGUUUACAGAAUAUGAAUGAGUACAAGAUAUGAAGAGAUUUAAUACAUGUUUUGCUGAGUUAGAUGAAUAUUUGUCUGAUUCCAUAAAGUAAAGUGCAAUGUUUACACUCUAUAUGAAAUGAUGAAUAAAUGUAUGAUAAUACCUCAUUAAGUUCUCAUGAACUUAUUUGAUUGCCUCUGAUUGUAGGAGUUGUUAGAAAGGAGGGUGGCGAGAGACAAUGCCAAGGCUACGCCAUAGGAGCGGCAGUCUGUGCUGAUAUGCAUGCAGAGAAGACAAAGAUCGUGGCGAAGUUACAAUCUGUGCCAAGAAAAAACUAAGAGAGUCAUACGAUUAGUUAGAAGUAUUGACAACACACGCGUUUACACGAGAAGCCUUAUGGUGAAGUUUAAGUUUACGCAUAAGAUGUAAUACCUUGUAUAGUGAUAGAAGAAAGGCGAAAACAAUAGUCAUAUUACUUUGAUUGUAAAUGUAAUAUUAGACUGUACUAGAAGUUAUACACAAUAAGUAAAACGAGGUAUUUCAGCUAAAAAGACUUAGAAAUUUUAUUAGUUGAAUAGUUACAUAGGAAAGCAAAGUAGGAGUCUAAGUACGUCGAUCCUUAGGCGUAACACUCAGAACUCAGAUUCAGUUGAUCGGGUCAAGUGGAGGGCGUUACAUUAGGCGUUAGAAGUAGCUAUACAAUUAUUUUUCUUUCACGAUUUCAUUUUUUUGGUUAAAAUACUAAUAAAAUUCUUAAAAAUAUUUUUUUUUAUUAAAAUAAGCACCUAUUGUACCCAAUAAGUUAUUAUCAUUUAAUUUGUGUUCAAAUAAUUCUAUUUCAAAUUUAAUGUGAUUAAUAUUAAAGAUUCUUUUUAGUCAACGUUUGGAAACUAGAAUUUUAGAAUUUUAGAUAUCAAAAAUAGUAUAAAUUGAGUAGUAACCUAUUUAGAAAUGUAACAAUUGUAAUUUCUUGAAUUCAUGGAUGUGUUAGAUACUUAUUUAGUAAUGAAUUUGAAGUUCUUAAAAUAUUUUUAGAUUUGACAAAUUCAUGCUUCUAUGCAUUUUUUAGCAUAUAUUAUAUUAAAUUUCAACUAAUUUAUCUAUAAUAUACGAAUUUAUUCUUAUCAUUUAUAUAAUAAAUGAAAUUCAAAUACAAAUUUUCAAAUUUAUAUUCUUAAAUGAAGCGAUAGGUCUUUUUUAAUUAAAAGUAUUUUUUUCGAGUAUAAAUUAAAGUUAAAGCUUUUAUAUAUAUAUAUUAGAGGCUAAGGGUUUUUUUUUUUCGUUUUGAUAAAUGGUUUAUUUGGAAGCAAUAAAAAGUAGAAGGAUCUUUCUAAACAUUUUUUUCUUUAAGCAAGGAAUAUGGAGGAUGAAAUUGAAAAUGUGAAAAAUAGAGAUUUGUAAUCUACUAGUUUAGGGAAAAAUAAACAAAAAGAUUAAGGAAAAUGGAGAUCUUUUUCUCUCAUAUUUUUGUUUAUUAGCAAUUAACUUCAUCAAAUAAACUUUAAAAUCUUAGGAAAAAUUACAACAAUUAGACCAUAUAUAAUUAAUUGAUCACACAGUUAAAUAAAUUUUAUUAACAAAAUUAAUAAAAUUCAAAUAUAAUAAUAUUAACAAUUUAUUUUUAUUAAAUUAGCCUUACAGCUUAAAUUAAAUAUUGAAAAGUUAACACUGUUACUUUUGGAUACCAAAAUAUAAAAUUUUUGUCAAAUAUAAAUAUCACGUAUACCGUAUAAAAAAAUAUCAAAUUUAAGUACCAAAUGAUGUAAUAAGCCUAUGAAAUUUUAAACCUUAAAAUUUGAGAAAAAUCACAACAAUUAGACUAUAUUGAACUAAUAAUCACACAGUUAAACAAAUUCUAUUAGCAAAAUUAUGAAAAUUCAAAUAUAAUACUAGUAGCAAUUAAUUUUUAUCAAAUUAGUCUUAAAGCUCAAAUUAAAUGUUGAAAAAUUAACACUUUUGAGUAUCAGAAUGUAAAACUUCUGCUAGAUAUAAAUAUCACGUAUACCGGACAAAAAAAAUAUCAAACUUGAGUAUCAAGUGUAUUAAGUGUAUGAAAUUUUAGAGUCCAUUUAAUGUUCAAGGAAUUAGUUUUUAAAAAAAAAAAACAAAAUAAUGACAACGAUACUUUAAUAGAAUAUGCUUUUAAAUAAUUUUAUAUUUUGUUAAUCAUACAAUAAAAUAUCACUUUUUCAAGCAAACUAUCUAAAUAGAGUACUAUGUUUAAGUAAUUUUAGUUAUCUUACCUCUAUCCAAGAAAAAUACAACUUGCAUAUCAUUUUUCAUAUAUUGAAAACAGAUUUUUGAAAUUAGUACCAAGUACUAUUUUUUUCGUAUGAACCCAGUUAAAGGUUCGAUAAAUAAAGAUGUAAUAUCUCGUGUGAGAAAAAAAUUGGCCAACAUUUCUAUGAACAAAUAGAAAGUUGUUCAAGUUACCUACUAUCGCGGUUCGUAAUCUACAAAUCAUUUUAACUUUCACAGAAUCAGAAAAGAAAUGGCACUUGCGAUUGUAGCAUAGAACAUCAUUAUCAGUUGAAAAUUUUGCAACUAAAUCAGUGGGUUGAUGUGAGUACAUCUACUUUGAUGCAAAAGAAGUAAAGUGUACAAUCCUAAGGUUCGAUGUGUCAAGCAAGCACUUGAGUUGAUAAAAUCUGGAAUUCUGUUUAAUAUAAAGGAACAUGAUUCAGCAUAAAACAUGAAAACGCCAUAAUGAGUCCAGCUAUUGAAUAAAUGGCAAAACACAAAAUCCAAUAAUCAAGUUCAACCCCAAGUAAAUAACUUUGACAAAAUUAGGUUAAGAUUUACUGCUAAGAAAUACAACUAACCACGAACACCCCGAUUGAGACUAACCAUGCGAGCUGAAGCAUCCAUCUGGGAACCUCUCAUUCCUGAACCGGCUCUCCCAGAGUAUCCUCGUGAUUGACCUGACCGAUCCCUUGAAGCCUGUCCUAAUGCCAAUGGUCUGCCACCGCCAGUAUACGCGGCACGUCCAGAACUACCUUGCCUACCCUGACCGUAGGACAAAUCUGGCCACCUACCGCCGCCGCCGCCAGCUGUCCCAGCAGCAUAUUCCUGGUUAUCUCGCCGCCUUAGUGGCAGAUCCAAUCCACCACCACCGGUUCUAGCCUCGACUGCCCUCUCAUUACUCUCAGCAAGUAUUGAAAGCUUUUCUGUCAACUGGAAUGCCAAGGCCUGCAACCUUGAGUACUCAACAUCAUGGAAGAUGAUGCAUCGUGUUGGCUGGUCCCAGCUUGCAUGGAGUUCUUCAUUUACCAACAUCUUGCUAACAAUGCUAUGAAUCUGGGCAUCUGAGAGGUCAAACAUUCUGGUCAGCUGGUCCAGGCCUAGUGUAUCAUAGGAAGAACAGUAGGUAAAAAGGUAAGUCCUCAGAGCCUCUUCCUUGAUCUUAGCUUUCAGCAUUUCAAGCACACUCUCUCUAUUCCUAAGGAGCUUCCAAACAUCAAGAGAAUUAAUGAUGUCGAAGGCCUUCUGGAAAUCUCCCUUGCAGAGGGCCCGGGUUGCAGCCAUUACAUGGUCUCGCACAUUUUCUGGGGGACCUGUA
rnacentral:lncRNA from 1 species